AGACAAUUGCAUUCCUGUUACAAAAUAUGCAGUUGCCGCUGAGCUCUGAAAGUCUGUCCCUCAGCUUUCUAGUCACUCAUGAGAAAUCUCGUGAGAUUUUUCUCCUUAAGGGCAAGCCGUCAUGUCUUCUUCACUUAUCACCAACAAUCAAUUAUCCUAAUUUAAUACCAAGUGAUAUGGCAUGCCAGCACAUUUAAUUGUGUUCCAAGCUAAUGAAACCAGCAGAAGGCAGUGGACAGAACAGCAUCAAAGCACUGCAUUGAUCAUCCACACUUAAUCCAGUCAAGCAGUGUUUCUGAGGCCUGUCGGACUAGUCUGUUCCACCAAUGUUCCACUAACAGCUCUUUUCGGAUGCCUCGAUUGAUUUGUGUUCUCAGACAAUGAUGUCAUAUAAUGCUGCAUUUUAUUCCGUGUUCAUGGCCUGCACUUAUGCUGAAUAAUAACCAGGACUUCAGACAGCAGUUAUUUCAGACUGUGAUUGCACUGAAGAUGGUGUGGAAGUAAUUCACCGGUAUGUUGCCUGGGAUGGAGCAUUUCAGCUGUGAAAAUAAACCAGUUAAUGAAGAUGUUGUUUGAAUGUGCAGAAGAGCAUAUUGAUAUGGAAUUAAUCUCCUUUUGUAUUAACCUUGCAUCUAACAAGAGAAAUGCACAAUUAAUCUGCGA